GGCCCCCGGCCUGCCCCACUGCGAGUCCCAGCUCGGUCCUGGGGCCUGGCCACGCCCGCUGCCGGCCAGCGACCCAGUCGGACCCAAUCCAAGUCCCUCCGUUCUUGCCACCCACCACGUAGGCUGAUCCUGGCGUGCGCUGCGUGUUCUUUCCUCUUAUGUUCUAUUCCUUUCUGUUAAUAAGAAUAUGACCUCAGGUAGAGAAAAUUAAACAGUCAAGUUUCCAAACAAGAUGAGGUGACUUUAAGAAUUCAAAGGAUGUGAUGCACCUGCCUGGGGGAGGUGGGGGGACGUCCCCGCUGCUCCCCCUCCCCGGAAAUGCCUGCGUCCAGCGGUGACCUCGGGAACCUGGGGCUGAGUGAGUGGGGGUUCAGAGCCUGCUCGCCCCAGCGUCCUCCAGGCGGUUGGCAGCGCAGCCAGAAGGCCUGGGCAGCUGGGCACUGGGGCGCCGUUCGCCACCCGGCGCGGACUUCGGAACCGGCCCGAGGACUGACUGGCUCUGCCACUCCAGCGCGUCUCCGCUGCACCCGGAGCGCCGGCCGGUCCAUUCCCCGCGAGGAUGCGCGCCCUGGCGGCCCUGAACACGUCGGCGAGAGAGCGGCUCCUUCCCCGGGACCCCGCGGCUCCCCGGGACCCCGACGCCGCGCGGCCGGCGCGCAGGAGCGCAGUGGAGAGGCUGGCGGCGGAUCGCGCCAAGUACGUGCGGGGACGGCCGGGGACUGGCCGGGGCGUCGCUUCCGAGGGCAGCGGCCCCGGGGCGAUCAAGUGCCCGGGGAACGACCCUGGGCCCCCGGCCCGCGCCCCCGCCCCGGUGGCGCGCAGGGCUAUUGCGCGGAAGCCGUUGAGGCCCGACUCGCUGAUCAUUUACCGGCAGAAAUGCGAGUUCAUGAGGGGAGCGGGCGCCGACGGCCCCAGGGCGAGCCUGGUGAAGAAGCUCUUCCAGGGGCCGGGGAAGGACAAGGUGCCGGUGCCCCGGACGGGAGACGAGGGCAAGACCGGGAACCCGGAGACCGUCCCGACCAAGCCUGGCGCUGCAGCGGACCUCGCGCCCCCCGAGACCCCAGCCCCAGCCGCGCGCUCCGCGGCGCCCUCCAGUGUCCCGGCCGCGCCCCCUGGCCCGGAGCCGCGGGUGCUGAGGCGUCGGGGGCUGCAGCGCUCACAGUCGGACCUCAGCUCCCGCUACUCCGCUGCCUUGGCCGAGUCUGACACCUUCUUUCAGUACUGCGGCCUGGACCCCGAGGUGGUGGAGGCCCUGGGGAGGGAGAACUUCACCGCGGGGUCGGACCGUGUGACCCUCAAGGUGCGCAGCGUGAGCGUCGCCACCUCCGGCAGCGGCUUCUCCCGGCACAGCGGCGACGACGACGGGCUGCAGGAGGAGGAGCUGAUUGAGCAGGUGCCCAGCACCACUUCGGUCAUCGAGAGGAACGCCCGCAUCAUCAAGUGGCUGUACACCUGUAAGAAGGCCAAGGAGACCCCCAGCCAGGAGCAGAGCAGGACCCGAGGAAGCAAACCUUCCCGGUGAUGAAGACUUUUUGAAGGAUUUCUUCGGUGACUUGGGAUCCCAGGACCAUUUGGCCAGCGUGCCUAAGUGACCACAUGAUUGCUGUUUUACCAGGAAUACAGCAUCCCAUUGACAAAGCUUAAGGGCUCUGAGAAGGUUUAAAAUACUACAGAGAAUAUGGGAACACAGACCUUGAAAUUUAGCUGAGGUGUAACAAGCUGAAGCUCUAAGAGGCAUUUUCCUUGUUUGAGGUGAAACUAGUGUUGCUUCCAGAGGGCAGCUGGAAACCGUAAAGCUGUUUGGAAAUCUUUUUGACUGACUUGGUGACAAAGAGGUACUGUGAUGCAUUUUAACAAUAUCUAAGUUGAUUUUUUUUUUUAAUCAAGGAAAAUGAAAACCAAGCAUGAAUGCCAUGGCAUGUACUCCUUUUGACCAUCCUGGGCUGACCAGCAUCAUUUAAAUCAAAGUAAUCACAAAAAGGCAUAUUCUGCUUCAAUUCUGUGGCCAAAAGAGAGUAAACACACACACUCACACACGCUGACCCCAGUUGCCAGAGCAUUACUGCACUAUAAAUGACAGUUAAUUCCCAACUCUACUACUGUUUGUCUUAUUUAACAAGUCAGAAAGCACUUUUAAAAUAACUUGAGGGCUACAAGGUCAUGCUAUUAAUGUCAUUCUCCAUUUGGGGUGUAGGCAUGUGGAAGUACCCAUUAAAAGAUAAGUUAGUGUUUAAAUACUGAUAAACAAAACCUUUUUUUGUAACUGGACAGUUUCUGGAGAGUUGGCAGAAGAAUCUUGGAGUUUCCUUUGGUCAGAUGAAUACAACAUUUCACUUUUGCAGCACUAUUUAGAAUGUACUCCAUAGUUCUCUUGUUCCCAACUUCCAAAAAGAACAGAAAAUUUUGGUUUACAUGGAACACAGGCAUCUGAGGCAGGACCUCUUCACUGCCCCUUGAUCUGACUCACACCUCCACAUAUGACAUAUCCAACCCAAAUUUGACACCAAUUCACUCUUUUCUGCAAAGGACAUAUUUUGAAGCAAGGGACAGCCUGAGGGUGGCUGGAAUGAGAAUGUUGAUGGGGGUUACUGGAUCCCUAAUUCUGAACUUGCUCAUGACACCCAGAGUAAAUAGAUUCAGAUUCAGAACCUUCUGAGAAAUAACCCAAAGAAAAUUUGUUACCCAGCCAAUUCUUCGAAAACUUUGUAUGAAAAUAUAUCUUUUCAAGAAGAAAAUCAUUAGAGAGAAGAAUGUGGAGGGGAGAGAAAUGAGUUUCUCAUUGAUAUGAUAUUUUGUUAACCAUUUCAUUUUGAAUUAUUCAAGUCUUGGUUAAUAUUGUAUUCUAUUUUUGUAACUAUUUCACCAUGAGAGUAGGUUAUUGGGUUACUAAAUAUUUAUUUUCACACAGUUAUUAGUCUUCAGAUAGUUUUAUUUUACUUCAGAUGAUUUUAGUUUUUAUCAGUAUAAUUUUAAAUCAUGUUUUUCUUGGUCAUCUCAUUGUGUAUAUUGUAUAAUUGGAUUUUCAUUGACUGCAAGUGGAGUGUCUGCCACUCCAUUAAGUACUCAGUACUAUAGUGACUUGUUUUCAAAUAAGUCCCAGAUACACAUUUAGGGAGUCUUUGCUGGCCACCAGAUGUACCUGUGUGAAUAUAGAUUCUGUCAGGACAGCAGGUCCCCUGAUCUAAGAAUUUUCCCCAAAGUUUGCUCUAAAAAUGCUGCUAUUUUGCUGUUCAUUAUAUUGCACUUAGUUAAAAAAAAAAAAAGAUAAUGUUAAAGAUGAGAGCAGUUUUUUAAAUGAUCUUUUCAUAUACCCAAUUCCCUUAUUUUCAGAUGUCCCAUUAAUUUUAUAUAUGAAAGCUUUAAGUAAAAGUGUGUAUGCCUUUCUACUGUCAGAACAGGAUGGAUGCAGCCUGGGGUGGAUUUAUUUAAGAUGAAAAUGGUGCAGACUCACCAUUCACAUCACAGGUGAAAAAUAUAAAAACAAAAUGGUUUCCACUAAAACCACCAAGAUCUUUUAGAGAUGUUUGCACCUUUGGUGGUGGUACAGGAAAAGAAAAGAAUUCAGCUGGAGUGAAUUCUAGAAGUAGAUAUCAGAAAACGGGCAUGAAGAACAGGGGAACUGGGUGGCAUCAGACUCCUAAAGAAGUGAGUUAAUUUUCCUUCCCUUCCAUUCAGAUUCAUGCCACGGCUCCAUGUCUUCAGUAUGUGUAAGAGGUGAGAAGUUCUUUCUUCAGCCAGGGGCGGUGGCUCACACCUUUAAUCCCAAUGCUUUGAGAGGCCAAGGUGGGAGGAUCAUUUGUGCCCAGGGGUUCAAGUCUGCAGUGAACCAUGAUUGCACCACUGCACUCCAGCCUGAGUGACAGAGCAAGACCCUGACCCUAUCCCUAAAAAUAUAUAUAAAAAGUAAAACUAAAGAACUUCUUGCCUAAACCUGAAUUACCCCAAUUUGCUGAGUGACUUUGAGAAAAAUUAGACUGUUUAGUUCAGUCUGGAUGAAAAGCUUGCGAUUGCUUUCCACGAGAAUGAGCAAUAGUGACAGCUGCAAGGUACUGUUAUUUGUUCAUGAAAGAAUGACAAUUUAAAAAAAUGUAAUUAAACAUAAUGGAAUGUGUUAAACUGCUGGGCACUGAAACUGACAAAAAGGAGGCUUUAUUGAACAUUGCCCUUUUUCAGUUGGUUCAAAGUUCAGCACUGUGGUUAUCAUUGGUGAUGCCAGGAAACAUUAGUAGACUUUGACAAUUGCUUUGGUAGUUUCUAAACAGAGUUUUUUUCUCUACACUAUUUGCAACUGGAGUGCAAUAUUGUAUAUUCUGUAUUAAAGAAAUAAAGUAUUUUUAUCAUUUAUUAAUA